rnacentral:rRNA from 1 species
UACGAAGGGGGCUAGCGUUGCUCGGAAUUACUGGGCGUAAAGCGCACGUAGGCGGCUUUCUAAGUCGGGGGUGAAAUCCCGGGGCUCAACCCCGGAACUGCCUUUGAUACUGGGUAUCUCGAGUCCGGAAGAGGUGAGUGGAAUUCCGAGUGUAGAGGUGAAAUUCGUAGAUAUUCGGAGGAACACCAGUGGCGAAGGCGGCUCACUGGUCCGGUACUGACGCUGAGGUGCGAAAGCGUGGGGAGCAAACAGG